rnacentral:rRNA from 1 species
AUUGAACGCUGGCGGCAGGCUUAACACAUGCAAGUCGAGCGGGGGAAGGUAGCUUGCUACCGGACCUAGCGGCGGACGGGUGAGUAAUGCUUAGGAAUCUGACUAUUAGUGGGGGACAACAUUUCGAAAGGGAUGCUAAUACCUCAUACGUCCUACGAGAGAAAGCAGGGGAUCGUAGGACCUUGCGAUAAUAGAUGAGUCUAAGUCGGAUUAGCUAGUUGGUGGGGGAAAGGCCUACCAAGGCGACGAUCUUUAGCGGGUCUGAGAGGAUGAUCCGCCACACUGGGACUGAGACACGGCCCAGACUCCUACGGGAGGCAGCAGUGGGGAAUAUUGGACAAUGGGGGGAACCCUGAUCCAGCCAUGCCGCGUGUGUGAAGAAGGCCUUAUGGUUGUAAAGCACUUUAAGCGAGGAGGAGGCUACUUUAGUUAAUACCUGGAGAUAGUGGACGUUACUCGCAGAAUAAGCACCGGCUAACUCUGUGCCAGCAGCCGCCGUAA